rnacentral:rRNA from 1 species
GACGGAGGAUGCAAGCGUUAUCCGGAAUUAUUGGGCGUAAAGCGUCCGCAGGUGGCUGUUCAAGUCUGCUGUCAAAGCGCAGAGCUUAACUCUGUACAGGCGGUGGAAACUGCAGAGCUAGAGUAUGGUAGGGGCAGAGGGAAUUCCCGGUGUAGCGGUGAAAUGCGUAGAUAUCGGGAAGAACACCAGUGGCGAAAGCGCUCUACUGGGCCAUAACUGACACUGAGGGACGAAAGCUAGGGGAGCGAAAGGG